CUCUGUGUUUACAACUCCCGGAGUUUGCAGAUGACUCAUCUGGGUCAGGGCAAGGGAUCCAGGGUGCUAGAUGGUUGCAGGUGUGAGGGAAGGUCUGCCAGCUGCGAGCCGACAUGGACGCCCAAGGGACAAAUGGAGUGAGAGAGAAGUCAUCAAAUCGACAACAGCGAAGCAGUCUGGUCUCAUCUGACUGAAUGCGCUGAGUCCCCUUCUGAUCUGACAGUUGCUCUGAGCCCCAGGAGGGGAAGAACAAACCCCGUGGCCUGGCAGCAAAGGUGCAAAGCAGCUGCCUCGUUACCCCUCUGGUCCUGGAUACAGGGACCCAGCUGCCUCGUUACCCCUCUGGUCCUGGAUACAGGGACCCAGCUGCC